rnacentral:misc_RNA from 1 species
UCCGAGUUAUCCCCGGCAGUCUCUCUAGAGUGCCCAACUUAAUGAUGGCAACUAAAGACAAGGGUUGCGCUCGUUGCGGGACUUAACCCAACAUCUCACGACACGAGCUGACGACAACCAUGCACCACCUGUCUCCUCUGUCCCCGAAGGGAAAGUCUCGGUUAAGAGACGGUCAAAGGGAUGUCAAGUCCAGGUAAGGUUCUUCGCGUUGCUUCGAAUUAAACCACAUGCUCCGCUGCUUGUGCGGGUCCCCGUCAAUUCCUUUGAGUUUCAUACUUGCGUACGUACUCCCCAGGCGGAGUGCUUAAUGCGUUAACUUCGGCACCGAGGUUCGACCCCCAACACCUAGCACUCAUCGUUUACGGCGUGGACUAC